rnacentral:tRNA from 1 species
GGAGAGGUGGCAGAGCCUGGCUGAACGCGCCGCACUCGAAAUGCGGUUUACCCUAUGGGUAACGGGGGUUCGAAUCCCUCCCUCUCCG